GCCUCCUGAUGAUUGGUCAGAGGAGGUCAUAAGCUUCUGCCUGGGUUGACUGUGAAAAGAGAAACUGUAGAUGAAGGGGGCACCCACUGUCUUGAUUCCUGACAUUUCACAGUAUUUUCACUACCAUCAGACUCAAUGCACCAGGCACUAAAGCAAACUCUUCCAAGGAUCACCUACGUUGCAUGGCUGAUAGUUGCAUGAAGAUGACGAAUGUGAUCUUAUACAGCAUCUUCUUGGCAGUAUCUCUAAGAAACUCUUCUUACUUGUUUAUAAGAA